GUCUCAAAGAUUAAGCCAUGCAUGUCUAAGUACAUACCUUUGCACGGUGAAACCGCGAAUGGCUCAUUAAAUCAGUUAUGGUUCCUUAGAUCGUUCAUACUACAUGGAUAACUGUGGUAAUUCUAGAGCUAAUACAUGCAAAAAGCUCCGACCGUAUGGGAAGAGCGCUUUUAUUAGACCAAAACCAAUGGGGUCGCAAGAUCCCUUUGUAUGGUGACUCUGGAUAACUUUGUGCUGAUCGCAUGGCCUCGAGCCGGCGACGUAUCUUUCAAGUGUCUGCCCUAUCAACUUUCGAUGGUAAGCGAUUUGCCUACCAUGGUUGUAACGGGUAACGGGGAAUCAGGGUUCGAUUCCGGAGAGGGAGCAUGAGAAAUGGCUACCACAUCUACGGAAGGCAGCAGGCGCGCAAAUUACCCACUCCUAGAACGGGGAGGUAGUGACGAAAAAUAACAAUACCGGACUCAAUGAGGCUCGGUAAUUGAAAUGAGUACAGUUUAAAACCCUUAACGAGGAUCUAUUGGAGGGCAAGUCUGGUGCCAGCAG
rnacentral:rRNA from 1 species